CCUACGGGUGGCAGCAGUGAGGAAUAUUGGUCCAUGGGCGCGAGCCUGAACCAGCCAAGGAGCGUGAAGGAUGACUGCCCUACGGGUUGUAAACUUCUUUUAUAAAGGAAUAAAGUGAGGCACGUGUGCCUUUUUGUAUGUACUUUAUGAAUAAGGAUCGGAUAACUCCGUGCCAGCAGACGCGGUAAUACGGCGGAUCCGAGCGUUAUCCGGUUUUAUUGGGUUUAAAGGGAGCGUAGAUGGGUUGUUAAGUAAGUUGUGAACGUUUGCGGCUCAACCGUAAAAUUGCAAUUGUUACUGGCAGUCUUGAGGACAGUUGAGGUAGGCGGAAUUCGUGGUGUAGCGGUGAAAUGCUUAGAUAUCACGAAGAACUCCGAUUGCGAAGGCAGCUUACUAAACUGCCACUGACAUUGAUGCUCGAAAGUGUGGGUAUCAAACAGGAUUAGAUACCCGGGUAGUC
rnacentral:rRNA from 1 species